CGGCCAUAUUGACCCACGUAACUGGUCUACUCUGGCCUCAAAUCGGGAGGUCUGGAGACACACCAUCUAUAACGCUGCUGAUGCUGCACACAGGAUCACUCUCGAGGACAAAAGACAACACAGAAAGAUUCAUGCCCUGCAGAAUAUUCCACCUAAGGAGUCUUUCUGCUGUGCUUUUUGCAACCGGACGUACCUGUCUCGUAUUGGCCUUUUUAGCCACCAGCACGCUUGUAACAAACGUGGGUAGAGCCCUCCUCAAAUCUUGUCUUUAGUACAGCAUAAUUUAUUUGGAAAAGGCAUAAAACCAGCAAAAUCACAUGUAAAUUCCCUGCUUAACUUCUGUUUUUGUAUCAAUACAAAAAAAAAGGAGAGUGAAAGGAAUCAAUAUGUAGAAUAAAGAAGUCACCAUGGAGGAUGGAUUCUAUCUGUACUUUUGUCAGGUUGUGAUGUGGGAAGGGUUGUUUUGGAUUACUUGUUACCCACAUCUGUAGAUGUGUAGACCUAUCUUGUCACUAGACACUUUUCCCAGUCAUAAGGAACCUCUCCUGGUCUUCACAACCUUUUAAUGAUUAAGAGAAUUGCCUCAAAAUGACGUGGACAAAAUCCCUUGGUGCUUGUGGGUGCUCCGUGGACCUGAGCAUGCCAUUUAUUUAAGCGUUUCCUAGCCUGUUCCUCCUCCACCAAGGGUAAUGUUCCUUGACCCAGAUUUUCCAACUGACCUCAGGGACCUGGGAUUGCUGAAAGCUGGUCAUACCAGUAAAGACCAGGGCUGAGACUGAGAUUCAGAGGUCACACCCUCACUCUCCAAUGUAAUUGAAGUGCUUGGGAAGAAGGAACAGCCAGUUCUUGCAAAUCAAAGCUGUCGAUCUUGAAGAAAGAUGCAAACCAUUGGUGUGAGCCAAGAAUAAUUUCCUGGGGCUUGACAGCUGUGUUGGUUUUUAUUUUAGGCAGAUUUUCUGCAAUAGGAGGAACAAUCUCUGAAAGGUCAGGCAGUGGUGAAGCUUAUAUUUGAGUGCACCAUAAGGUCUGUAUUUCCUAUUCUCUAAGGAAAGGAGUGGCUGUACUGCAUAUGAAUACUGUAUUAUUUUUUUCAGCCUUGUAAAGCAUUCUGGAAAUUAUGCAUCUGACAUUUUUGUUGCUUGGUCUGUCAGAGGAAUUUUCAGACCUGCACGUUUUAUCCCUAGUAAUGUUCAAUGCUCUGUUGACUUAUGGCAGCACUGCCUUCUGAGUAAUCUUACUGCAAGCAUGUUCAUAUAAAUGUUUGAAAUGGUGGCACUCUAAAUAAUAGUUUUUCAUUUUAGUCAACUUCAGUUCAUCAAAAGCUAGUUAUGGUUGGAUUAAAUGGUUUAAGGGACUGCAAAUUGCCAUCAUCUUUCUGCUGGAUAUUCCAGGCAUCAAAACUAAAACCGCAGUGCAUUUAAGAUAAUUUUCUCCUCUGUAUUCCUUAUCCUUACCUUGGAUAAGUUGGCUGAAGAAUUUCCUGCUCGUCAUAGCAAAUACUUGAAGUGGUAACUUGGGCAUGUGAAUCCUAUAUCUCCCCUUAUAAUUAUCAUGUGCUGGUUUCUCAUGUCCCAGGAUAUAUCACUUUAUGAGGAACAUUUCCCAGCUGCAUAUGCUUUGGGCAAAGAGUAGGCAAGUGUGAAGAGUAGCUGGUAGGAGAAAUGAGUGGAGUGGCAUCUGUUUAUAACAUAACUUGGGUUUGCCUAUUCAGUAGCAAAUUCUGCCUUUCCUGAGUUUACUGUUGUUUUUGUCUCUCCUAUUUACAGUGCAUACACAUAGAUGGCUUCUGAAGUGUAUUUUAUUGUUGUUGGAUUGGUGUAUUUUUCCAAGUAAAAUAAUAAUUACUACUUAAUGCUGAAGACAUUUUAUCCUUCUGACAGUCACUGUCCAGAUUAUUGCACAUAUGGUGAAGGGUCACUUCAAGAGGAUUUAUGAAGAGGAUCCUUAAUCCCUGUGAGAUCACUAACCUGCUUGUUUCUCUCUAAGUAAUUACUGUAGCAGUAAUAUCACAUUGCCUUCCUGUGGGAUAAAAUUCAAAGAUAAGGGGAACAAUUGUAUUUGUGAUUGUUUAAAGUCCUAACUUUUCACCAGAAGAUGGCAGCAGGCUGAUGUUAGUCACAAAUAUUUCAACUGCUUACUGUUGGAUAAACGUGGAGGUAGUGGGCUAAACACUUGGAACUGAAUUUACCAUCGUUUGCGGCGAGAAACCUGGCAUUGCAAAGCAUUGCAUGUCAAGCUGUUUUGUGUGUUUGUAUGUCUGGCUGGCUGCUGGCCUGCAAGUCCCCUGCAAGUCCUGGAUGUUGUCCUUCAGUGAUGUCCUUUCACCUGAUAUUUUUUCAAGAGCAUUUGUUUUGGAAGAAAAAUCAAAGCAGGUAGAGCUGUUGCUUAAAGAAGUUUGAAUUAUUACAUAUUGCAUUUCAGUUCAAGAAAAUGUUUUAUUCUGUUCCUAGAAUUAAUUUUCUUGGCAAUAAACAUCAGUUAAACAUGAA